AUGACUAUCACUCUUUUCCUCCUCUGCAUCCCCCCUAUAUUUACUCACCCUGCCCACCACUACUUACCCACCCCCUGUCUUAUCUCACUGUCAACCUUCCUCCUCCCCAUCGCCAUGAGCUCUAGCUCCAGCUCCAGCUCCAACCCCUUCCCUUGCGGUAUUGGCUGGAGGGCCUUCUUCCUCGGGUGGUCGGCUGGUGAUUGCACCAAGUUCGAGAGCACCAUGGAGGUGUGCUCGAACUUUGGCUCCAUGCCGGACAUGCAGAACGAAUCUAAUGCAGUGCUCAUGAAGGCCACUAAAGAAGAGCUGAAGACGCUGAUUCUUGACCCAGCAAAGGGCGCGAUGACAGUUGACAUCAUUCGCUGGGCCAUGAAUCAGGCCGUCUUCGAUGACACUAAACAGAGGAAGAAGUGGUGCAAGUACAAGACCUACUGGGCUCCUAAUGACCGCCGUGCCGCAGUGUACUAG
rnacentral:rRNA from 1 species